rnacentral:rRNA from 2 species
CUGAAGUAACAAAUGCCCUGCUUCCAGGAAAAGCCUCUAAGCAUCAGGUAACAUCAAAUCGUACCCCAAACCGACACAGGUGGUCAGGUAGAGAAUACCAAGGCGCUUGAGAGAACUCGGGUGAAGGAACUAGGCAAAAUGGUGCCGUAACUUCGGGAGAAGGCACGCUGGUGUGUAGGUGAAGUCCCUGCGGAUGGAGCUGAGACCAGUCGAAGAUACCAGCUGGCUGCAACUGUUUAUUAAAAACACAGCACUGUGCAAACACGAAAGUGGACGUAUACGGUGUGACGCCUGCCCGGUGCCGGAAGGUUAAUUGAUGGGGUUAUCCGUAAGGAGAAGCUCUUGAUCGAAGCCCCGGUAAACGGCGGCCGUAACUAUAACGGUCCUAAGGUAGCGAAAUUCCUUGUCGGGUAAGUUCCGACCUGCACGAAUGGCGUAAUGAUGGCCAGGCUGUCUCCACCCGAGACUCAGUGAAAUUGAACUCGCUGUGAAGAUGCAGUGUACCCGCGGCAAGACGGAAAGACCCCGUGAACCUUUACUAUAGCUUGACACUGAACAUUGAGCCUUGAUGUGUAGGAUAGGUGGGAGGCUUUGAAGCGUGGACGCCAGUCUGCGUGGAGCCAACCUUGAAAUACCACCCUUUAAUGUUUGAUGUUCUAACGUGGGCCCCUGACCGGGGUUGCGGACAGUGUCUGGUGGGUAGUUUGACUGGGGCGGUCUCCUCCCAAAGCGUAACGGAGGAGCACGAAGGUUAGCUAAUCCUGGUCGGACAUCAGGAGGUUAGUGCAAUGGCAUAAGCUAGCUUGACUGCGAGCGUGACGGCGCGAGCAGGUGCGAAAGCAGGUCAUAGUGAUCCGGUGGUUCUGAAUGGAAGGGCCAUCGCUCAACGGAUAAAAGGUACUCCGGGGAUAACAGGCUGAUACCGCCCAAGAGUUCAUAUCGACGGCGGUGUUUGGCACCUCGAUGUCGGCUCAUCACAUCCUGGGGCUGAAGUAGGUCCCAAGGGUAUGGCUGUUCGCCAUUUAAAGUGGUACGCGAGCUGGGUUUAGAACGUCGUGAGACAGUUCGGUCCCUAUCUGCCGUGGGCGCUGGAGAAUUGAGGGGGGCUGCUCCUAGUACGAGAGGACCGGAGUGGACGCAUCACUGGUGUUCGGGUUGUCAUGCCAAUGGCACUGCCCGGUAGCUAAAUGCGGAAGAGAUAAGUGCUGAAAGCAUCUAAGCACGAAACUUGCCCCGAGAUGAGUUCUCCCUGAGACUUUAAGUCUCCUGAAGGAACGUUGAAGACGACGACGUUGAUAGGCCGGGUGUGUAAGCGCAGCGAUGCGUUGAGCUAACCGGUACUAAUGAACCGUGAGGCUUAACCUU